ACUAUACCUCUUACACUUUUUCAUUUACUUCCUAUUUCUUCCACCUUAUUCAUGCUCGUUUGAUAUGAGAAGAGGACAUGAGAAAGUAUCACCACAGCUUAGCCUUCAUCGCACUGCAGUUUGCGUUCGCCAUUCUCCAUUCUUCGUUCGCCGUUUGCCAUUUACCGAUUGCCGUUCGCCGUUCGCCGUUCGCCGUCCCCCGUCCCCCUCGUCCUUCUCUUCCCCUCUUUCACGAGUAUAAAACCCUAAUCUAUUCUGUUCUUUUCACAUUCUGCAGUCAAAUCGCGACCGAUCAUUCUAAUUCAGAGCUCUCACGACAGAGCAACCAAAACUUUCAUGGAUUUCGAAUCAAUCACUCAGGCCAUCGACGGUAUAUCUGUCUUCUUUCUUUUUCAAUUUUUUAUUUUUAUAUCUAUGAUACACGUAAUCUCCAGGGAGGAAAUAUGCAAAUUUAAGUUUCAGGAGGAUCAAAUUUUUGUAUAAUCAUGAUUGAAAUCUGAAAAUAGGGGAUACUAUGACUUUGUUAUGCCUUGUACGGAUUUGUUAGCAUUGAAGUUUCACGACUUUUAUAUAUAAUUGAAGAUGUCUCCUUGUAUUCUAUUCUUGCCUAAUUUUUUAUAUCAAUAGAGUAUGAGGGUUCCAAAGAAGGUGUUGUAGUUCGCUGGUAUUGAGGAUGUGUUUACUUCAUCAAGAGGAUCCACUAAGACACUGAAAUUUCGACAAGUGGGUGAGCAAUGCAGCCGAGGAGACCGUGAGCCUUGCAUUUUACAUGGUGAUGUCCUAUAUGUUUAGGCCUAUGGAGAAGAAUGAGUACUUUGUGCUUGAUGAUGAGGAGGAAGAGGCUGCCGAAAUGGCCCUUAGGGAAGAGAAAUUUGAGCUUUGAAUAGGGAAACUCAAUUUGGCUGGCUCUUCUUUUGGUUUUGGUUUAACAGUUGAACCUCUCUGUGCCACAGAUUUCAGGAUGUUCGGUGAAGCUCUUGUGGUUCAGGGAUGAGAUUUCUUGGUUAAAAGUUUUAGGGAAAUUGAGGGUCUUAAAAUAUCAGAACCCCAGGGGGCAUUUUAUCUAUUCAUUGAUUUCAGCUACUACUAUGGAAAAGAAGCUGAAGGAUUUGGUAGAAUUGAUGAUUCGGAGUCCCUUUGUCGAUAUCUUUUGGAUAAGGGCCAGGAAGUUAGCAUUUGUCGUUCGCCACCUCUGAGCUCGUCUCCGAUCUGCUCUUUUUUGCUCUUUUAUGCCGCUUUCCGCCGUUGCUCUGUUUUUGCUUCAAAUCUGCUCUCGCAACCGCUGCUCUGCUCUCUGCUCUGAUCCCUCAGUCUCCGUCACUGCCUCUGAACUCUCUCGCCUUUGUAUUUGGCAUGGUUAGGAGAAGGGAGCAUUGAUUGCCCUUGGAUAGAAACAAGGCCGCUAAAAGAGAGUGAAUCCGGUGAAACACUAUCAGCUGCAACGUGGGAGGUAUGAAGAGAAGAAGGCUAAUAAAGAAGUAUCAAAGUCCUAAAAAAUUUCUCAAAAUUGUUGAAGAUGCUAAAUUAGUGUUAUUCCCUAAUGCAAGAGGAAAUGAUCAUAUCUCAAUUUUUAAUUUUACCAAAUUCUUAAAGUGUGAACCUAUACAUGAUUGUUAUUCAUGAUUGUUAUUCUUUGAUUUAAGUAAUAUAAUUUUCUUUUAUUUCUUUUAUGUUUUUAUAGGUAUGAUGAGAAGAAGGCUAAGAAAGAAGGAGAGUUUAAGUGGGAUUAUGACUAUGUAAUUAGAAUUUGUAGAAUUCAACUUUUGAAAUACAUUGUUGCUAUUUUUGUAAAAUUUGUGGGAUUGAAUUUUGAUUUGUUGAAAUACAAUAUCAUUUCUAGAA